AUUUAAAUAGUUUAUAAAAAACAUAAUAUUGAAGAUAUUAAGAUAACAUAAAGUUUUUAAAUA
rnacentral:tRNA from 1 species